rnacentral:rRNA from 1 species
CUAACACAUGCAAGUCGAACGGUAACAGGAAGCAGCUUGCUGCUUUGCUGACGAGUGGCGGACGGGUGAGUAAUGUCUGGGAAACUGCCUGAUGGAGGGGGAUAACUACUGGAAACGGUAGCUAAUACCGCAUAACGUCGCAAGACCAAAGAGGGGGACCUUAGGGCCUCUUGCCAUCGGAUGUGCCCAGAUGGGAUUAGCUAGUAGGUGGGGUAACGGCUCACCUAGGCGACGAUCCCUAGCUGGUCUGAGAGGAUGACCAGCCACACUGGAACUGAGACACGGUCCAGACUCCUACGGGAGGCAGCAGUGGGGAAUAUUGCACAAUGGGCGCAAGCCUGAUGCAGCCAUGCCGCGUGUAUGAAGAAGGCCUUCGGGUUGUAAAGUACUUUCAGCGGGGAGGAAGGGAGUAAAGUUAAUACCUUUGCUCAUUGACGUUACCCGCAGAAGAAGCACCGGCUAACUCCGUGCCAGCAGCCGCGGUAAUACGGAGGGUGCAAGCGUUAAUCGGAAUUACUGGGCGUAAAGCGCACGCAGGCGGUUUGUUAAGUCAGAUGUGAAAUCCCCGGGCUCAACCUGGGAACUGCAUCUGAUACUGGCAAGCUUGAGUCUCGUAGAGGGGGGUAGAAUUCCAGGUGUAGCGGUGAAAUGCGUAGAGAUCUGGAGGAAUACCGGUGGCGAAGGCGGCCCCUGGACGAAGACUGACGCUCAGGUGCGAAAGCGUGGGGAGCAAAC